ensembl:lncRNA CNN3-DT CNN3 divergent transcript
GGCUCUGGGCCCAGCGCGCCCAGAUGCCGGGCAGGACCCCUCCGCCCGCUGCUGGAACACCAAUAGCAGCGUUGGAGCCUCUGGGCCGGAGGAACUGGGGCCUCCACCGACACCUGCUUCUUCCCUCACCUCGCAGCCUUCCACACCUGUUGAUCUGACCUCUGCCCCGCUGCCGCCCAGGAGUAACCUAAGGCUUUUGGCCUGAUUCGAGCUCACUCCGUCUAAACCUCUAAAUGCGGUGCGAAAAAAUCCUGGGGAAUGUGCCAUGCAAAGCCUGGGCAUUUCAAGUGCUUUUCUGGAUUCGCAUCAACUCCUCUUUACAGGCAUCUUUAUCCGGAAUUCAGCUCGUCCCAAACCCCACGUGGUGUAGCUCUGCUUGUGUUUUUGAAUCCCGGGGCCUCUUUGAAUCAGAAGCCCUUUGUAUAGAGAUAAGUAUCCUUUAGGCCAGAAUCAGCCUCCAUUUUUUUCGCAGUCCCAUUUCCUACCCGUAAUACUUUCUUCUGAUUUUAAAGCCAUUUGAUAGAGAAGGGACAGGGAACAGAACCUUCGCCCCCCGCCUGAGCAGCUGGUAGACUAGAUAUCUUCCAAACAUUAUCUCAUUUACUUCCCUGGAGUUACAAAUAGGUAGAUUUCAUGUCCGUUGAGGGGUGAGAAAGCUGAAACUUUGAGACUUAAGAAUCCUGGCCGAGGUCAGCCUCCUCCGAAGCUUCAUCUCUUGCCACCACUUUCUGGUGCACACCUAGGACAGAUUUCAAUCCCUGAGAUCCCAGGAUGAAACCUAUGUUUGCCAAAUACCAGCUACUGUGCCAGAAGAGAUCAUGGAACCAGGUGUGGAAAGCUGCUUGAGAAGAGGAGCCAAAACAUCAUAGUUGAACCGUCCUGGAAUAGAAACUCGCCCUGAAUUCUUUCUUGUGUGAAAUCCAAGAGCCCUCUCUUGGGGUUGGAUCGGGACCCUGUUCCUGUAACAAGUCCACAAUGCCAGAGAAUUAAAGAGAACCACAAAGGAAACCCUCAUUGAAUACUGUGAAAGUUGUCAGGAUAAAAAUAGAGUCACUUGUGACAAAAUGGAGCUGGGAAAGGCCAUGAAGGAAGGGUUCUUAAUGCUCAAUCGCCUGAAAACAAGAACUGUUACAAAAGACUAUACCAAAACCACAACCUUGUACAAAGGCCACUGCAACCUUAUGCAAAAAAAAACUUCUGCAAGGACAUCUGCCCAGCAGUUGCCUGCCUAACCUUGGACUGAUGCCACCCUUAUUAUUGAUCCCUGUAAGCAAGGAUAAUUGUUUCAAAACAACUUAUGUAACCCUCCCCAUUUUAGCUUUAAAAAUUGCUGUCUUCCCUUGCCUCUUUGAAUGUGCCCAUAGUUUACUCGGCAUGUGUGUUCCACACUACAAUGCUUACUCUUGAAUACACUUAUUAUCUUUGGAGAAUCUCUCUCUGUUAUUUAGCUUGACAGUAUAUUCACUGAAAAUUUAAACUUGUUACUGAAUAAAGUCAUUAAAAUG